ACGAUAUGGGCAAGUCUCUUACGGUCAGCUCCCUUUUAAUCCCCCAGGACGGGAACGUAGCAAGGGCAGAAGGUUGUAGCGACGCGAUAAGAACAGCUUGCCCACCU
rfam:Prevotella intermedia 17 chromosome II, complete sequence.